CCUACGGGACGCACUAGUGGGGAAUAUUGGACAAUGGGCGAAAGCCUGAUCCAGCAAUGCCGCGUGUGUGAAGAAGGUCUUCGGAUUGUAAAGCACUUUCGACGGGGACGAUGAUGACGGUACCCGUAGAAGAAGCCCCGGCUAACUUCGUGCCAGCAGCCGCGGUAAUACGAAGGGGGCUAGCGUUGUUCGGAAUGACUGGGCGUAAAGGGCGCGUAGGCGGUUUAUGCAGUCAGAUGUGAAAUCCCCGGGCUUAACCUGGGAACUGCAUUUGAGACGCAUAGACUAGAGGUCGAGAGAGGGUUGUGGAAUUCCCAGUGUAGAGGCGAAAAUCGUAAAUAUUGGGAAGAACACCGGUGGCGAAGGCGGCAACCUGGCUCGAUACUGACGCUGAGGCGCGAAAGCGUGGGGAGCGAACAGGAUUAGAUACCCGUGUAGUC
rnacentral:rRNA from 1 species